rnacentral:rRNA from 1 species
GCAUCUAGAUUAGAGUUUGAUCCUGGCUCAGAUUGAACGCUGGCGGCAGGCCUAACACAUGCAAGUCGAGCGGAUGAAGGGAGCUUGCUCCUGGAUUCAGCGGCGGACGGGUGAGUAAUGCCUAGGAAUCUGCCUGGUAGUGGGGGAUAACGUCCGGAAACGGGCGCUAAUACCGCAUACGUCCUGAGGGAGAAAGUGGGGGAUCUUCGGACCUCACGCUAUCAGAUGAGCCUAGGUCGGAUUAGCUAGUUGGUGGGGUAAAGGCCUACCAAGGCGACGAUCCGUAACUGGUCUGAGAGGAUGAUCAGUCACACUGGAACUGAGACACGGUCCAGACUCCUACGGGAGGCAGCAGUGGGGAAUAUUGGACAAUGGGCGAAAGCCUGAUCCAGCCAUGCCGCGUGUGUGAAGAAGGUCUUCGGAUUGUAAAGCACUUUAAGUUGGGAGGAAGGGCAGUAAGUUAAUACCUUGCUGUUUUGACGUUACCAACAGAAUAAGCACCGGCUAACUUCGUGCCAGCAGCCGCGGUAAUACGAAGGGUGCAAGCGUUAAUCGGAAUUACUGGGCGUAAAGCGCGCGUAGGUGGUUCAGCAAGUUGGAUGUGAAAUCCCCGGGCUCAACCUGGGAACUGCAUCCAAAACUACUGAGC